CAACUAGAAACAGCAUCUAUGAAAUUUUCACCAGCUGAGUCUUAGAUCAUCCUUAAUAAAGGGGGAAAAAUCCUCUUUUCUUCAAUGGAGGACUUCUGGAAAAUAUUUGAAAAUGACUUUGAAAGCACUCAUUUUCCCCUGAAAAUUGUUCAUUUGGUGGGGAAAAAAAAAACCGUAUUUUCUAGACUGGAGGACUUCUGGAAGGACCUGCUGUGCAUUUACCAGUAUAUAAGAAAUGGGCUAUGUUCCUACAGAGCAUGAGCAUGUCCUCAAUCUGUGGUGCCUUUUCCAAUGUGCUACUUCAUCUCACAUCAUUGAUAAGAGAAAUUUGUACAGCUCCUACUAUGUGCCAGACCCUGUUCAAAUAUAGAGUAUCUCCUCUUCCUCACAGAAUGCCUCUAAGCUCUUGAAAUUCAUGUUCUAACAAGACCAUGAGCCAGCUCUUACAACCGUGUCAUGAUGUGCCAUUAUGUUCUUCACUGUUUCCUUGGCAUACUCUCAGUUGGCAUGGCUCAUCAUUGGCACUCAGUUGGAUGACUUAAGUGCCUUCCAAGAAUACAUGAAGGACCUUGGCAGUCGUCACAGAGCAUGGCCAGGCUUGACACCAGACACUGAGCAUGAUCUUCAGCAGAAUGAAGUCGGAGUCUAGUGCGGAGGGCCCACCGUGAUUGACAGUAUGGCAGCAAACCCUGAGUGGUGUGGUCUUCUGAGUUGUCGUUUCCUGCAGCCCAGUGAGAACACAGACGCAUGGAGCAUUGCACUGGCAGCAUGGUGUCCCAGUCAUAGAUGUUGAUCAUACAGCUAGAGAUCGUGGAGCUGGCCAGACUGAAGAGACAUGAGGCAUGGAAGACUGCUAGAUGCUGUGGCCAUGCCCUUAAAAACUGCCUGUUGACCGGUGGUGACAGUGAGGUCACAGGGAACAGAUGAACUGCUGGUGCAGUGCACAAAUGGUUGGAGUAUUGGAACUGAUGAUACAGUGUCCCAGUCAGGCCAUCAUCUUCAGUUGAUAGUGAAACUCAGCAGUCAGCCUUGCCCCAGAAGUCCUUCACCUCCUUCCAAUCUACAGUGGACCCAGAAGUUGGAGACGGAAAUGGAGAUGCCAGGAUCCACAUGUGGUAAUCCACUGUGUGGUCCUGAGUGAAUUUGCCAUAACAAGUACAAGUAUAUUGUUUAUGCCUGAUAAUCAUAUGAUGCUGGUCUUUAUAACUAAUUAUUAAUCUUCUGCACUUGAUUUUAUUUUCCAUAAACUGUACCCAUGGAUGAAAGAAGAUUUAAAAACAAAACGAAACAAAAACUACUUUUCUUCAUGUAACAGAUCUAGAUUUUGAAAUAUUGAACCAAGAAAAAAAAGACAAAAAAACUGGAAAGUAUGUUGAGAAGUACGCCCAAUUGCUGCCCUGCCUAAUUCUUUUCAGGUGACAAUGAAGUAGCUUUUAAAGCUUGAACUAUAAAGGACUCCUGAGUACACUUCCAGCCACAAGUCAGCACUGCCGUUUUUAGCCAGCGUGUAGAAGAAAAGGAGGGCAUUUCUUCCCAUGCUGAUGGAACUAUGUGGUUGUUCAUUUCAGGUGUCCUCUACUGCUAAACUUUAAACUAUACUGAUAAACCAUAGUGUGGCCAUGUCCCCAUUGUGCUGGAGUUUGUAUGAAUAGUUAAGAUGUUUACUGCACUGUUUUGUUUUGUUUUUUUUCUUUGUUUUUUGUUUUGUCUACUUUCUCAUAGCUUUUGGGACUAACUGUAUUACUUGGUUUUCUCAUGUUUGUGGGACUGACUGUAUUACUUGGUUUUCAUAUUGUUUUAACUCUAUAAAAUGGCCCCAGAAAAUCUCCAAAUAGUGUCUCUAACUACAACAAAGGAGAAUUGUAUGGUUCCUUAAAUUCAAUUUAAAUUCAAACAAACUAAUUCAACAGUUUGUUUAGUGUGAAUAUUUUCAUCUCUUUUUUAUGUCUCAAUUUAUUUGAAACGCAAUAUUAAAAGCUAUCUAGUAGAACCAACUUAUUAAAUGUUACUUUAGUGUGCAGUGAAAUAUUCAGUUAAGCAAAUGUUUAAGAAAGAUACUUUGACUGUUUUGAAAUUCAUUAUGAAUCAUAAACCAAAACUCAUUUCAUAGUAUUUCAGACACACGGUCUCAUAUAUUCUUGGUCCAGUAUGUCAGAAUAGAAUUUGUAAUACAAAUAAAGUUUGCUUUAAUUAAAAGGGUUUUUUUUGCUGCAAGUCCCAUCUAUUGUCAGAAAGCAUCAGGUAGAGUUAGCAUUAGUAGUAGUUGUUUUCAUUAGAAGAUGGAGGCUUUCACUAAUGUUGUUUGUAACAAAUCUAUUCUCAUAAGAGGGUUUUGUUUUCCAAACACACAACACAGUACGAUUCUCUGAGAUCUGAAGGGAUAUGAAAGAUACAGUUCAGGGCUGGUGGUUUACCCUCAGCUGUAGAACCAGUUCAGAAACCCUGUUUUUAGUGUUGUGUCUUACAUUCUUGUGUUCACUUGAUUACUAGACUAUGUCAGUCCUGUCUCCAGUGAAAACAGGGGCCAACAAGUCUUUCAGAGUCAGUUAAUGAACAAAAUAUACUGAUUUUUAAACAGGUUCUUCAUAUGAUUUCAUCUCUUAUCUCUUUUUUGAGUAUGCAGAACAAGUUCUUUCUUCCUAGGUGGUAAAGUUUGUGUUCCAGGCAUAUUGAGUUUAUAUAUUAUGUGUACCCUGUUGUUAAAUGAAAACAAGUUUCAACUUGAAGUGUAGCCAUUAUGCGGUAUCCAUGUAUACUGACCAUGCACCACAUAUCCAUUGCAGUCCCUAGAGAGUAUUUAUGAUUCAUAUUAUAUACUGUGUUUUAUUAUACUUAUAAGAUUGUACAACCUUCUUUCAUAUUACCCAUGAGCCCCAUCUGUUUGUUUUUUGGUUUGUUUGGGUUUUUUUCUUCUUGAGUCAAGAAUAAAGUUUAAUCCCUUUACUGUACCUUGCCCUCAGUUGGUAUAAUUAGGAAGUGAAUUGUUCAAAUCUCCACAAUUAAGAGUUUCAGAGUUUGUGAUACUGGUCACUUGACUUAAUAAAGACUAGAUUAUAUGAACAGAAAAA